UACGUAGGGUGCGAGCGUUGUCCGGAAUUAUUGGGCGUAAAGGGCUCGUAGGCGGUCUGUUGCGUCAGGAGUGAAAACUCGGGGCUUAACCCCGAGCCUGCUUCUGAUACGGGCAGACUAGAGGUAUGCAGGGGGAGAACGGAAUUCCUGGUGUAGCGGUGAAAUGCGCAGAUAUCAGGAGGAACACCGGUGGCGAAGGCGGGUCUCUGGGCCGAUACUGACGCUGAGGAGCGAAAGCGUGGGGAGCGAACAGG
rnacentral:rRNA from 1 species